rnacentral:rRNA from 1 species
CCUACGGGGGACAGCAGUGAGGAAUAUUGGUCAAUGGACGAGAGUCUGAACCAGCCAAGUAGCGUGAAGGAUUACUGCCCUACGGGUUGUAAACUUCUUUUAUCUGGGAAUAAAUUGUUCCACGUGUGGGAUUUUGUAUGUACCCUAUUAAUACGGAUCGGCUAACUCCGUGCCAGCAGCCGCGGUAAUACGGAGGAUCCGCGCGUUAUCCGGAUUUAUUGGGUUUAAAGGGCGCGUAGGUGGGUUGUUAAGUCAGUUGUGAAAGUUGGCGGCUCAACCGGAACAUUGCAGUUGAAACUGGUAGUCUUGAGUACAGGAGAGGUAGGCGGAAUUCGUGGUGUAGCGGUGAAAUGCUUAGAUAUCACGAAGAACACCGAUUGCGAAGGCAGCUCACUGGACUGCAACUGACACUGAGGCUCGAAAGUGUGGGUAUCGAACAGGAUUAGAUACCCGAGUAGUC